GUUGUACUCCCUCCGUCUGAAAAUACUUGUCAUCGAAAUGGAUAGAAAAGGAUGUAUCUAAAACUAAAAUACAUCUAGAUACAUCCCCUUUUAUUCAUUUUGAUGACAAGUAUUUCCGGACGGAGGAAUACUUU
rfam:Triticum aestivum genome assembly, contig: Triticum_aestivum_CS42_TGACv1_scaffold_577385_7BL